CAGACAUGUACGAAAAUCAUCUCCCCACGGAGCUAAAAUGAAUGGAAAAGGGCACAUUUAUGACACUGGUGAUGUGUGGUUCUCAUGCCAGAUCUAAGCAACAUUUUCUUGACUUUUAUGUUAUAAUUACCUUACAUAUUUUUGAAGUUGUAGGAAAUGAAGCAAGUUUGAGUUACCAUUUUAUGAAUUAAUUGAAGGCAUUUUGAUCCUUCAUUUUCCCAAUCCAUAUCUUAAUUGACUCUGCUUUCUAAAUAUCUCGUGAAGAAUUUAGUACUUGUGGUUGGCUUAGCAGCUCUCAUUCCACAAAAUGAGGACUUAUGCCUGAACGACACUUCGUUUUAAGUCCCACUGUCUGCUUUUAUAUUUUGUUAUGGUAUGGAUCAUCAUUCUUAGGUAACAAUUUUGCGCUUUUAGAGCACCCAAAUGAUUAUUAGUCCAUGUCCGGUGUUGUCUACGACGCCUUUUGUUUAAGCGAAACGACAGACAUCUUGAAUAAGAAGAGCGAAUUAACUGUAAAAGUACAAAUUCAAAGACGACAUCCAAAAUGCUGAUUUUGCUCAAGGGCCGACAUCGUCUCUUUAAUAUUUAUCGCUUCUAUGAAACAAUAACACCAUUCAAGACGGGAAAAAUUCUUUGUGUUUUGGACUCAAGAUUACGGCACUUGCAUAAAAAAAAUUACAGACGUAAAGGAGAUUUGUGAGUAGCGUAGUGUGUAGCAGUAUCAAUAGCAGCAGUGUUCGGUCGACUGAAAUCGUAAGAUCGAACGGAAGAGAAGAAAGAUGGAGCAGAGCUUCAUCAUGAUCAAACCUCAUGGCGUCCAGAGAGGCUUCCUCUCUUCACUCGCUCUACUCACUAUUACAUAUAUAGCUGAAUUAGUCUAUUUCAUCAAGGACAAUUAGUGAAAUUUCAUCACUAUUCCGUAUAUGCUGAUAAACCAUAUGAAGAAAGAAUGGAAGACAUUACGAACUGUAGUGGAAAUAUGCACUCAAGAUGUGAUUUUUAUGGCAUAUGCAGUUUUGGGUUGGUAACUUGGUAACCGAUGAAUGUUGAUUUAUUUUUCUUUGGUUUUAUUUAGGGUAGGGGAGAUCAUUAGCAGAUCGAGAGAAAGGGUUUCUCUUUGAAAGGUAAUUCAAUUUUGAAUGAUAGCGAAAAGAUUGUCGGUGCUACUAAACCCUCUGAGUCAGCUCCUGGCACCAUCCCUGGUGAUUUUGCAGUUGACGUUGAAAGGAGUAUCACUCAUGGAAGUGAUUCGGUUGAGAAUGCUAGGAAAGGGAAAGCAUUGUGGUUUCCUGCUGGUACUGUGAACUGGCAGAGCAGCCUCCGUUCCUGGAUAUAUGAGUGAGCCGUGGAUUGCUGUUGCAUGUCGCAGUGAAGAGCCACCAUAAUAUACUGAUCCUCUGUCUAAGAAAAGAUAAAGGAUGUCAACACCCGCCCUUUAACAAUGUUCAUAUCACAUCCAAGGAGCCUAAUUUACAUAUAAAACCUUAUUUCAUAUAUACCAACUGAUCUGCCCAAGUAAUAUCCUUUAACCAGAUAGCAAAACGCACACACCUUACAAAUAAUAGAAUAUUACAUGUCCUGUAAACUGACAUGUUUACUCUGGCAUAAUAUAUAAAAACUUAUGCAUGUGGAUAUACAUAACUAUAGUCCCUAAACAAGAAUGCCAAUUUGCCAGUCUUAGUGACAGGCUACUUAGCCAUAACAUCUGAUGGGAUCAUUGCAGCCUUUCUCAGUGGAUUGCCUAAA